rnacentral:rRNA from 1 species
GAUGAACGCUGGCGGCGUGCCUAAUACAUGCAAGUCGAGCGAACGGACGGGAAGCUUGCUUCUCUGAUGUUAGCGGCGGACGGGUGAGUAGCACGUGGAUAACCUACCUAUAAGACUGGGAUAACUUCGGGAAACCGGAGCUAAUACCGGAUAAUAUUUUGAACCGCAUGGUUCAAAAGUGAAAGACGGUCUUGCUGUCACUUAUAGAUGGAUCCGCGCUGCAUUAGCUAGUUGGUAAGGUAACGGCUUACCAAGGCAACGAUGCAUAGCCGACCUGAGAGGGUGAUCGGCCACACUGGAACUGAGACACGGUCCAGACUCCUACGGGAGGCAGCAGUAGGGAAUCUUCCGCAAUGGGCGAAAGCCUGACGGAGCAACGCCGCGUGAGUGAUGAAGGUCUUCGGAUCGUAAAACUCUGUUAUUAGGGAAGAACAUAUGUGUAAGUAACUGUGCACAUCUUGACGGUACCUAAUCAGAAAGCCACGGCUAACUACGUA